UCCGGGGUAGUUCAGUGGUAGAACGCUCGGCUUGUAACCGAGAGGUCGCUGGUUCGAAUCCCGCCCCCGGAUCCA
rnacentral:tRNA from 1 species